UACGUAGGGGGCAAGCGUUGUCCGGAUUUAUUGGGCGUAAAGAGCGUGUAGGCGGCCGUACAGGUCAGCUGUGAAAACUCGAGGCUCAACCUCGAGACGUCGGUUGAAACCGUACGGCUAGAGUCCGGAAGAGGAGAUUGGAAUUCCCGGUGUAGCGGUGAAAUGCGCAGAUAUCAGGAGGAACACCCGUGGCGAAAGCGGCUCUCUGGGACGGUACCGACGCUGAGACGCGAAAGCGUGGGGAGCAAACAGG
rnacentral:rRNA from 1 species